CCUACGGGGGGCAGCAGUGGGGAAUAUUGCGCAAUGGGCGAAAGCCUGACGCAGCGACGCCGCGUGAGGGAUGAAGGUCUUCGGAUCGUAAACCUCUGUCAGCAGGGAAGCACGGUCACUGUGCUAAUCAGCAGUGAAUUGACGGUACCUGCAAAGGAAGCACAGGCGAACUCCGUGCCAGCAGCUGCGGUAAUACGGAGGGUGCGAGUGUUGAUCGGAAUUACUGGGCGUAAAGCGCGCGUAGGCGGUAUGUCAAGUCAAGGGUGAAAUCCCCGGGCUCAACGUGAGAACUGCCUUUGAAACUGGCAAACUGGAGUAUGUGAGAGGAUAGUGGAAUUCCAGGUGUAGGAGUGAAAUCCGUAGAUAUCUGGAGGAACAUCAGUGGCGAAGGCGACUAACUGGCACAUAACUGACGCUGAGGAGCGAAAGCGUGGGUAGCAAACAGGAUUAGAUACCCUUGUAGUC
rnacentral:rRNA from 1 species